rnacentral:rRNA from 1 species
UACGAAGGGGGAGCGAGCGUUUGUUCGGAUUUACUGGGCGUAAAGGGCGCGCAGGCGGCGAGUUUUGUCAGGCGUGAAAGCCCCGGGCUCAACCUGGGAAUUGCGCUUGAAACGGGCUUGCUAGAGAUCGGGAGAGGAGCGUGGAAUUCCCAGUGUAGAGGUGAAAUUCGUAGAUAUUGGGAAGAACACCGGUGGCGAAGGCGGCGCUCUGGACCGAGACUGACGCUGAGGCGCGAAAGCGUGGGGAGCAAACAGG